rnacentral:lncRNA from 10 species
UUUCUCUAUCCCUCCCAGAUAGUUAUUUUUCUCUGUCAAUCCUGUCAAUCAGUUCAUAUUUCUAUGACAACACAUCAAGAAUUGUUGUAUUUCGGAAUGUUCUCCUCUAAGCAAUCACCCUGGGAGCACACCAAUAUCAAUAAUACUGCCAUUCCUGAGGACAUCUUGAGAACUCUCCUUUUGUAACCAGUUUACAAGACACACAAGAUGAUAAAUCUUCAAGGAUAUGUUAGUUUUUGUUUGUUUGUUUUUACUAAAUUUGUUCAUCCACUUUAUUCAACAUAUUUGACUCAGUGACAUUUGGCCAUUUGCAAAAUUAAAUCUACCUUCAAAGAAUAAAGUUUUUCAAAUGAAUGGGCAAUUUUUUUUUUUUUUUUUUUUUUUUGCAUUUCAAAAAGUUUUCAUGAUGGGGCUUAUUGAUAGAAAAUGCAAUUGAAAAUUAUCAGUUUUUAAACAUUGUUUAUAAAGUACCUGUUGCAAGGACAGAGCUAGAUAAUUACCCUUAUUAAUUAUUGAAAAAGACAAUGAAAGCACUUGCCAUCAGUGGAGUUUUAUUAAUGACACAGAAACUGAAGGAUCCUUUACCUUUUUUUAACUAUUUUUUAAAAUAAUUAUAGACUCAUAGGAUGUUGCAAAAAUAGAGUUCCAUACACCCUUCACCCAGCUUUCUCUAGUGGCGACAUGUAAUUGCAAUACAAUAUCAAAACUAGGAAACAGGCAUUAUAUAACACUGCUUUUUGUGUGCGUGUGUGUGUAUUUUUUGUUUGUCUUUGUUUUUGUUUUUGUUUGAGACAGAGUCUCCCUCUGUUGUUCAGGCUGGAGUGCACUGGCGUGAUCUCAGCUCACUGCAACCUCCCCCUCCCAGGUUCAAGCAAUUUUCCUGCCUCAGCCUCCUGAGUAGCUGGGAUUACAGAUGCCCACCACCAUGCCCGGCUAAUUUUUGUAAUUUUAGUAGAGACAGGGGCUUCACCAUGUUGACCAGGUUGGUCUUGAACUCCUGGCCUCAAGCGAUCCACUGGCCUCAGCCUCCCAAAGUGCUGGAAUUACAGGCAUGAGCUACCGUGUCUUACAGGCAUGAGCUACCAUGUCCGGCUCAGAAAUUGACAUUGUAUGUCACUGUUUUCUCCCCCCCGCCCCCAAGACGGAGUCUUGCUCUGUUGCCCAGGAUGGAGUGCAGUGGUGUGAUCUCGGCUCACUGCAAGCUCCGCCUCCCGGGUUCAUGCCGUUCUCCUGCCUCAGCCUCCCGAGUAGCUGGGACUACAGGCGCCCGCCACCACGCCCGGCUAAUUUUUGUAUUUUUAUUUUUAGUAGAGACGGGGUUUCACCGUGUUAGCCAGGAUGGUCUCGAUCUCCUGACCUUGUGAUCCACCCACCUCAGCCUCCCAAAGUGCUAGGAUUAUAGGCGUGAGCCACCGCGCCCCACCGUAUUUUCACUGUUAAGUACACUACAGGCCUUACUCAGUUUUUGCCAAGUUUUACAUGCAUUCAUGUGUGUACUGUUCUAUGUAGUUUUAUCCCAUGUGUAAUUCAAGUAAGCACCAUAACAAGGUAGAGAACUCUUCCAUCAAUACAAAGGAACUCAUUCCUGGUCCCCUCUUACAUUCGGACCCCCACCCUUUCCCUGUCCUGUGUAGGCCACCAAUCUGUUCUCAUAUGUACAGUUUUGUCAUUUUGAGAAUGUUACAUAAAUGGAAAUAUGCGGUAUGUAACAAUUUGAGGUGGACUGUUUUCCCUAUAUUGCCCUUGAGAUUCUAUUUGUUGUGCACAUCAGUAGUUUAUUUCUUUUUAUUCCUAAGUAGUAUUCCUUUGUAUGAAUAUCCCAGAGUUUUACCACUGAAGGACAUAUGGGUUGUCUUUUUUCUUUCUUUCUUCUUAUUGUUACAAAUAAAGCUACUAUGAACAUUCAUGUACAAGUUUUUCUGCAAACAUAAAUUUUCAUUUCUCUGGGAUUAAUGCCCUAGGACAUAGUGGCUGG